rnacentral:rRNA from 1 species
CAGCAGCCGCGGUAAAACCGAGGGUGCAAGCGUUAAUCGGAAUUACUGGGCGUAAAGCGCGCGUAGGUGGUUCGCCAAGUUGGAUGUGAAAUCCCCGGGCUCAACCUGGGAACUGCAUCCAAAACUGGCGAGCUAGAGUAUGGUAGAGGGUGGUGGAAUUUCCUGUGUAGCGGUGAAAUGCGUAGAUAUAGGAAGGAACAUCAGUGGCGAAGGAGACCACCUGGACUGAUACUGACACUGAGGUGCGAAAGCGUGGGGAGCAAACAGGAUUAGAUACCCGGGUAGUCCCUGUCUCUUAUAC